GACAGAGGUGCCAAGCGUUAGGCGGAAUCACUGGGCUUAAAGCGUGUGUAGGCGGAAUGGUAAGUACCUUGUGAAAUCCCACGGCUCAACCGUGGAACUGCUUGGUAUACUGCUUUUCUUGAGCCACUUAGGGGCAACCGGAACAAACGGUGGAGCGGUGAAAUGCGUCGAUAUCGGGAGGAACAUCAGUGGCGUAGGCGGCCAUCUGGACCAACACUGACACUGAGGCACAAAAGCGUGGGGAGCAAACAGG
rnacentral:rRNA from 1 species